rnacentral:rRNA from 1 species
UGGGGGAUUUUGGACAAUGGGCGCAAGUCUGAUCCAGCCAUGCCGCGUGCGGGAAGAAGGCCUUCGGGUUGUAAACCGCUUUUGUACGGAGCGAAAAAGUCUGCCCUAAUACGGUGGGCUCAUGACGGUACCGUAAGAAUAAGCACCGGCUAACUACGUGCCACCAGCCGCGGUAAUACGUAGGGUGCAAGCGUUAAUCGGAAUUACUGGGCGUAAAGCGUGCGCAGGCGGUUAUGCAAGACAGAGGUGAAAUCCCCGGGCUCAACCUGGGAACUGCCUUUGUGACUGCAUAGCUAGAGUACGGUAGAGGGGGAUGGAAUUCCGCGUGUAGCAGUGAAAUGCGUAGAUAUGCGGAGGAACACCGAUGGCGAAGGCAAUCCCCUGGACCUGUACUGACGCUCAUGCACGAAAGCGUGGGGAGCAAACA